rnacentral:rRNA from 1 species
CCUACGGGAGGCAGCAGUGAGGAAUAUUGGUCAAUGGACGAGAGUCUGAACCAGCCAAGUAGCGUGAAGGAUGACUGCCCUAUGGGUUGUAAACUUCGUUUAUAUGGGAAUAAAAUGUUCCACGUGUGGGCUUUUGUAUGUACCAUAUGAAUAAGGAUCGGCUAACUCCGUGCCAGCAGCCGCGGUAAUACGGAGGAUCCGAGCGUUAUCCGGAUUUAUUGGGUUUAAAGGGAGCGUAGGUGGAUUGUUAAGGCAGUUGUGAAAGUUUGCGGCUAAACCGUAAAAUUGCAGUUGAAACUGGCAGUCUUGAGUACAGUAGAGGUGGGCGGAAUUCGUGGUGUAGCGGUGAAAUGCUUAGAUAUCACGAAGAACUCCGAUUGCGAAGGCAGCUCACUGGACUGCAACUGACACUGAGGCUCGAAAGUGUGGGUAUCAAACAGGAUUAGAUACCCUAGUAGUC